GGAAUUAAAAAAGAAAGAAAAAAUGAUACAACAAAAAAAGAUGGUUUCUCGUGGUAAUGGUGAAUAAAAAUUUUUAUUUUGAAGUUUUUGUC
rnacentral:ribozyme from 16 species